CAGCAGCCACGGUAAUACGAAGGGUGCAAGCGUUACUCGGAAUUACUGGGCGUAAAGCGUGCGUAGGUGGUGGUUUAAGUCCGUUGUGAAAGCCCUGGGCUCAACCUGGGAAUUGCAGUGGAUACUGGGUCACUAGAGUGUGGUAGAGGAUAGUGGAAUUUCCGGUGUAGCAGUGAAAUGCGUAGAGAUCGGAAGGAACAUCUGUGGCGAAGGCGACUAUCUGGGCCAACACUGACACUGAGGCACGAAAGCGUGGGUAGCGAACAGGAUUAGAUACCCCAGUAGUCCCUGUCUCUUAUAU
rnacentral:rRNA from 1 species